rnacentral:misc_RNA from 1 species
UACUGAGGGUGCAAGCGUUGUCCGGAUUUCUUGGGUUUAAAGGGUGCGGAGGCGGAAGAUUAAGUCAGUGGUGAAAGCCCACAGCUCAACUGUGGAACUGCCAUUGAUACUGGUUUUCUUGAAUUCAGUUAAGGUAGGCGGAAUUGAUGGUGUAGCGGUGAAAUGCAUAGAUACCAUCAGGAACACCGAUUGCGAAGGCAGCUUACUGGGCUUGAAUUGACGCUGAGGUGCGAAAGCGUGGGGAGCAAACAGG